rnacentral:rRNA from 1 species
UUGCCUCAGUAACGGCGAGUGAAGCGGCAAUAGCUCAAAUUUGAAAUCUGGCAUCCGCCCGAAUUGUAAUUUGUAGAGGAUGCUUCGGCUUACGUCUCGGUCUAAGUUCCUUGGAACAGGACGUCACAGAGGGUGAGAAUCCCGUUUGUGGCCGUGACUUCCGCCAUGUGAAGCUCCUUCGACGAGUCGAGUUGUUUGGGAAUGCAGCUCUAAAUGGGAGGUAUGUUUCUUCUAAAGCUAAAUACCGGCCAGAGACCGAUAGCGCACAAGUAGAGUGAUCGAAAGAUGAAAAGCACUUUGGAAAGAGAGUUAAAAAGUACGUGAAAUUGUUGAAAGGGAAGCGCUUGCAACCAGACUUGCUCGUAGUUGCUCAACCGGUCCUCCGGCCGGUGCACUCUUCUACGGUCAGGCCAGCAUCAGUUCGGGUGGUUGGAGAAAGGCCUUGAGAAUGUGGCUCUCUUCGGGGAGUGUUAUAGCUCUUGGUGUCAUACAGCCUGCCUGGACUGAGGUCCGCGCUUCGGCUAGGAUGCUGGCGUAAUGGUUGUAAGCGGCCCGUCUUGAAACACGGACCAAGGAGUCUAACAUCUAUGCGAGUGUUUGGGUGUCAAACCCGUGCGCGUAAUGAAAGUGAACGGAGGUGGGAACUUUUUGUGCACCAUCGACCGAUCCUGAUGUCUUCGGAUGGAUUUGAGUAAGAGCAUAGCUGUUGGGACCCGAAAGAUGGUGAACUAUGCCUGAAUAGGGUGAAGCCAGAGGAAACUCUGGUGGAGGCUCGCAGCGGUUCUGACGUGCAAAUCGAUCGUCAAAUUUGGGUAUAGGGGCGAAA